rnacentral:rRNA from 2 species
ACAGGGAUUGCCCUAGUAACGGCGAGUGAAGCGGCAACAGCUCAAAUUUGAAAUCUGGCUCUUUUAGAGUCCGAGUUGUAAUUUGCAGAGGGCGCUUUGGCUUUGGCAGCGGUCCAAGUUCCUUGGAACAGGACGUCACAGAGGGUGAGAAUCCCGUACGUGGUCGCUGGCUAUUGCCGUGUAAAGCCCCUUCGACGAGUCGAGUUGUUUGGGAAUGCAGCUCUAAAUGGGAGGUACAUUUCUUCUAAAGCUAAAUAUUGGCCAGAGACCGAUAGCGCACAAGUAGAGUGAUCGAAAGAUGAAAAGCACUUUGGAAAGAGAGUCAAACAGCACGUGAAAUUGUUGAAAGGGAAGCGCUUGCAGCCAGACUUGCUUGCAGUUGCUCAUCCGGGCUUUUGCCCGGUGCACUCUUCUGUAGGCAGGCCAGCAUCAGUUUGGGCGGUGGGAUAAAGGUCUCUGUCACGUACCUCUCUUCGGGGAGGCCUUAUAGGGGAGACGACAUACCACCAGCCUGGACUGAGGUCCGCGCAUCUGCUAGGAUGCUGGCGUAAUGGCUGUAAGCGGCCCGUCUUGAAACACGGACCAAGGAGUCUAACAUCUAUGCGAGUGUUUGGGUGUCAAGCCCGAGCGCGUAAUGAAAGUGAACGGAGGUGGGAACCCGCAAGGGUGCACCAUCGACCGAUCCUGAUGUCUUCGGAAGGAUUUGAGUAAGAGCAUGGCUGUUGGGACCCGAAAGAUGGUGAACUAUGCUUGAAUAGGGUGAAGCCAGAGGAAACUCUGGUGGAGGCUCGCAGCGGUUCUGACGUGCAAAUCGAUCGUCAAAUUUGGGCAUAGGGGCGAAAGACUAAU